GAAUGCUGACAUAAGUAACGAUAAAGCGGGUGAAAAGCCCGCUCGCCGGAAGACCAAGGGUUCCUGUCCAACGUUAAUCGGGGCAGGGUGAGUCGACCCCUAAGGCGAGGCCGAAAGGCGUAGUCGAUGGGAAACAGGUUAAUAUUCCUGUACUUGGUGUUACUGCGAAGGGGGGACGGAGAAGGCUAUGUUGGCCGGGCGACGGUUGUCCCGGUUUAAGCGUGUAGGCUGGUUUUCCAGGCAAAUCCGGAAAAUCAAGGCUGAGGCGUGAUGACGAGGCACUACGGUGCUGAAGCGACAAAUGCCCUGCUUCCAGGAAAAGCCUCUAAGCAUCAGGUAACAUCAAAUCGUACCCCAAACCGACACAGGUGGUCAGGUAGAGAAUACCAAGGCGCUUGAGAGAACUCGGGUGAAGGAACUAGGCAAAAUGGUGCCGUAACUUCGGGAGAAGGCACGCUGAUAUGUAGGUGAAGCGACUUGCUCGUGGAGCUGAAAUCAGUCGAAGAUACCAGCUGGCUGCAACUGUUUAUUAAAAACACAGCACUGUGCAAACACGAAAGUGGACGUAUACGGUGUGACGCCUGCCCGGUGCCGGAAGGUUAAUUGAUGGGGUUAGCGGUAACGCGAAGCUCUUGAUCGAAGCCCCGGUAAACGGCGGCCGUAACUAUAACGGUCCUAAGGUAGCGAAAUUCCUUGUCGGGUAAGUUCCGACCUGCACGAAUGGCGUAAUGAUGGCCAGGCUGUCUCCACCCGAGACUCAGUGAAAUUGAACUCGCUGUGAAGAUGCAGUGUACCCGCGGCAAGACGGAAAGACCCCGUGAACCUUUACUAUAGCUUGACACUGAACAUUGAGCCUUGAUGUGUAGGAUAGGUGGGAGGCUUUGAAGUGUGGACGCCAGUCUGCAUGGAGCCGACCUUGAAAUACCACCCUUUAAUGUUUGAUGUUCUAACGUGGGCCCCUUACCGGGGUUGCGGACAGUGUCUGGUGGGUAGUUUGACUGGGGCGGUCUCCUCCUAAAGAGUAACGGAGGAGCACGAAGGUUGGCUAAUCCUGGUCGGACAUCAGGAGGUUAGUGCAAUGGCAUAAGCCAGCUUGACUGCGAGCGUGACGGCGCGAGCAGGUGCGAAAGCAGGUCAUAGUGAUCCGGUGGUUCUGAAUGGAAGGGCCAUCGCUCAACGGAUAAAAGGUACUCCGGGGAUAACAGGCUGAUACCGCCCAAGAGUUCAUAUCGACGGCGGUGUUUGGCACCUCGAUGUCGGCUCAUCACAUCCUGGGGCUGAAGUAGGUCCCAAGGGUAUGGCUGUUCGCCAUUUAAAGUGGUACGCGAGCUGGGUUUAGAACGUCGUGAGACAGUUCGGUCCCUAUCUGCCGUGGGCGCUGGAGAACUGAGGGGGGCUGCUCCUAGUACGAGAGGACCGGAGUGGACGCAUCACUGGUGUUCGGGUUGUCAUGCCAAUGGCACUGCCCGGUAGCUAAAUGCGGAAGAGAUAAGUGCUGAAAGCAUCUAAGCACGAAACUUGCCCCGAGAUGAGUUCUCCCUGACUCCUUGAGAGUCCUGAAGGAACGUUGAAGACGACGACGUUGAUAGGCCGGGUGUGUAAGCGCAGCGAUGCGUUGAGCUAACCGGU
rnacentral:rRNA from 1 species